GCAGGAUAUGUUUCAAUGGGAGCCAGACUGUACAACAAUCACGUCCUAACAUCCACCAGUGUCCACAAUUAAACGCUGCUGACAGGUGUCUUUAUUCUGUCUACCUAAAGCUGGGCAUACACUGUACCAUUUUAGAAAUGUUGUUGUGUACUUCCUACUCCUACUGUACGAGUAGAUCGUUUGCGAUGUAAAGCCAAAGCUCACAAUUUAUGUUCUCACGCUGUACGGUCCGAUCCUCAGCCACAACCUGAGUGCUCACACUGUACGUGUAAAAUAGAAAAGAAACACGGUCGGUCGGUCGGCUCCUGUGGGCCGUUCUUGCUUUUGACAGUUGUCAAUAAAGAUUUGUUUGAAAGCUCUGAAGCAGGUUAAGUUUGUUUCCUAGCAGAGGUCUGUACGGGUCACAGUGCUAACAAGGCAGAAACGUGCUGCCUUGAUCAUCUGUGCCAUCCUGUCUGCUGAAGCUGAAA